UAGUUUCCCUGUAGGUUAAGUGCUAUGUAAUUACAAAGUCCUUUUCUGGGGGGAGCAGUUGGCAGAUUUGGGGAAUUUUGAAACACACAGCCGGUGCCAAAAGUGUUAGUUGAGGAUCCAGUUUCAAUUCUGUUUUUCGAGAAGCAAACUUGUUUUGGUUUAUCUUUCCUUGAAGUGCUGGAUCCUUGGCUCAGCUUGGUUGGAAGAAUUCUUUUGAUCCUCUGACGCGUUGACUUAAUUAAGCUGCAACAUCAUGGAAUUUGUGAACCCAGGCUGGCGAAGGCAGUGAAUGAAUUCACCUAGUGGGUAAUUGCCUUACCCACAGCUUCCCAGGUCUCCCAGAACACCUUCUUCCCACACACACUGAUGUUAGGAAAACUCCAGGCACUACCUUAUUGGUUAACUGGAGCCUGGAGAAUGGAGUAGAUAUUUAUUUAUUUUUUUAAGGAUAGUGGGAACAAACAUGUUUGCCAUAAGAACUUCUGAAGUUCUCAGCUAUAGCUGCUGAUGUGUAUCUUGUGGGAGACAAUCAGAACCUUGGCAACUAAAGUCGUCUGGUUGCAUUUCCACAUCGGAGAUUUCUCUGACGCUAUCUUUUGUGUCACUUUCAGUGCCAGGUCAGUGUCGUGUGGCUUUUAGCAGUGUUUUAAAUUUUAUAAAAUGUAUUGGUAGGAAUGGAUGGUGAAGAAUCUGUGAGUCAUCUUUGUGGCUUUAGUUUUAUUCUGGAAACCAAAGAAUCAUGUAAGAUACUUGUUAUAACUUUAAAUAUUUUUCAAGUUGUUUUUGAAAAAAUAAAAUAAUUUACAGGAAAUGGAGUGGGUAGGAGAGAUAUGUUUAAAAAAUAUUAACCCAUUUAAAAAAUCUAUUAAAAGUGAUUAAAAGCAAGCAUUUGCCUCUUUAUGUUUUCUUAAAUUCAGUGGAAUUUACACUAAUUAGAUUGUAACAUUUUGCAAGUUUAUUAUGCAGUAAUUUGAGAUAAAGUGAUGCACUAAACCCAAAAGAUUAAAAAAAUUAAUAUCAGGAUUGGUUCUGAGCAAUAUACCUUAAAAAGACAACAGUUCUGAGCAGAGAAACCAGAAUAGCAAAGGGAAUAAAGCUGUUUCCCAUGAAGGAUGUUCGUGCCACAAGAGUUUGUCAUACAGAAGAUUCUGGUUGGUAUAGGGCUGUGUUUCCACAUAGUACAUACACAGCAAAUAUCCAUUGAAUGCGUGAAUACCAGGCUUCGCAUAAUUGGCGCUUGUCAUGUGAGAGAGGAGUUAGAUGCGUUCUGUUGGGUCCCAUAGAUGGAAUUAGGAUCCAUUCUACUCAAUAAAAGGGAGAACUUUCUACCUUCUAGCUGUGGACAGUGGGGCAGGCAUCCUCUGGUGAGUGUGCUGCUCAGUGCAGCCUGGACAAUCCUUUGGUGUGGGUGCUAAUGGAGAGAUUCAAGACGUGCAGAGAUGUGGGGGUCAUGUGACUUUGAGGGCUCCCUGGAUUCUGACAUGUUAUAAAGUACCUUUGGAUUCAUUGAAACAAAAUAAAGAAAGAUUGAAAAUCCAUGGAUGAAAAAAAAAAAAAGAAAAUCCAUGGAUGAGAUAAAGCAGGCCUGCUGGCCCACACCAGGUCCUCAAUCACCAUACUCUGUACAUGUGGCAGGAGGAACUGACAUUUCUGCUCCAUUUUAGUUUUUCAAAUUGUUUUUAUUAACUCUGUUGGAAUUUUAAAAUUCUUUGUGAAAACAUAGGACACAGGUUUUAAAGGAUACUUAUUUUCAUAUAUAAAACAGGUAAGAGCUACCUUUAAAAGAUUUUUUAAAAAAAAAAAAAAAAAGGGAGUUCCCUGGUGGACUGCUGAUUAGGAUUCAGCACUGCUUUCACUGCUGUGGCCUGAGUUCAAUCACUGAUUUGGGAACUGAGAUCUCAUAUCAAGCCUCUCCUUGACCAAAAAAAAAAAAAAAAAAAAGUUCCCUAAAAAAAAGCUAUCAUUUUUUUAACCCCUGGAUAGGUUUAACUGUGCACACUGCCCCCCACCCCCCGCAAAAAAAAAAAAAAAAACAAGUUCCCUGACUCCUGGUACUUCUGAAUGUGACCUUAUUUGGAGAUAUGGUCUUUAUAGAGGUAGUCAAGUUAAAAUGAGCUCAUUAAGGUGGGUCUUAAUCCAAAAUGACUGGUGUACUUAUCAAAAGGGGAAAUUUGAAGACAGACAUACCCACAGGGAGAAUGCCAUGUGAACAUGAAGACAGCCAUCUACAAGCCAAGGAGAAAAGGCUGGAAUAGAUCUUUUCCUUGCAGGCAGUAGAAGGAACCAAUCUUGUAAACAUCUUGAUCUUGGACUUUUAGCCUCCAAAACUGUGAGACACCAAAUCUCUGCUGCUUAAGCCAUUCAGUUUGUGCUGCUUUGUUGUGGCAACCCUAGCGAGACAUCACUCCCUACAAGGUAUUACUUCACAUCUCUAUUGGAUUGCUAAGAGGAGAACAUUUUUGGUAGGUCAGAGAAAGCAGUUGCCUCCAACAAAAUAUUUAUUUUCCUCAGAUACACCUGGAUUGAAUUUUUCUAACAGGCCAGUUUACACUAAGACAAUCUGUUGUGACUUUUGUGGCUUUCAUGAAACAGUAGGGGAAAAAGCCGCCAACAAAGUAUGAAGAUCCCACGUUAUACUGUCUGCUGGGCCCUGUAAACGAUGCACAUAAUUUUCUCAUUUAUGAGACACUUUCCAUGCCAGGCACAUACCUCUUGUUACACGUCUUACAUUGUCGGUGCUCAGGGUUUCCAUUUACAUUUAUAUGUGAAAAAUAUUUGGUCUGGCUGAUAAACACACAGUGUAGGGAAGGAAAGGGGUAAUUUACCUGAAGCAUUUAGUCCGUUGCAACUUUUAUUAUUCCUAGCUGAUCCACCACUUUGGAGUAAAAAUAGGAGAAAAAUGUCCUCUUUCAACAGAGACUUUAUUCGAGACAUGACUGGGUCUGGUGCAGUGACUACACUCCUGGGAGCAGUUGUCAAGCCAGGCGAUGUUGUGUAUAAGCAGCACCCUGGGGAUGUGAUUCUCCAGUAGUCUCUCCCCACCACCAUCUGUUGUGCAAUAUAUUUCCUACCAAAUUGUAUUCAAGCAUGGAAUUGAAAUUUGUAUUAUUAGCAGUAGUUUGCUAGGAGUGAGAUGCUUCCCAGACAUGUCAAAGUAACACCAGAAUGUCUUGGAAAUUUAAAUCAUCUACUAUUCCUUUAAAUGAGAACUUCCCACCCUGUCCUGGAGCCACAGUCUAAUGAGAGAGACCAAAGUCACCAGUCCCUCUCAGAAGGGUCUGGCCUUCAAGUCCUUCAUUGUUGCAAAAGUUUGGCCAGGAUUUGGGGGUUGGGCCUGGAGGGAAGGUCUGAGAUGGGUGUUCUACUGGGAAGAGACUGAGGCAGAAAGAACCAGUGGAGGGUCCACUAAAGCCAGGGGGCUUUAGAGAAGGUUAAGCCUGGCUCUGGAAUGAUGAGAUCCACAGUCUCAGGUGGAACAUGUGAGAGAGGGAGCUGAGAGAAGAGUCUGAGAGUUGAUUAAUGUGGAAGCUUGGCAGAGGUACCCAGGGAGAGUGAGGGACAGAUGCUUUGACGUCAGUAGGGUUUUCCAUGAUGAGAACAGAAGGGUGUGCUGGCCUCCUCUGAAAACUGGAAUUGAGCCAGAUAGUCCUCAACUUAUUUGCUAGUUGGAUUCUUUAGUGAGGAGGAAUAGACACUCCCUGAAGCCACCUGGAGUAAUACAGCCUUAUUGUAAGGAUUCGUGGCAGGAAUCUCACUCAGGUCACUUAGACCCCUGGAAGCAGCUCUCCAGAUGUCAUCGGGAAGAGGAUGGUCAUUGUCAGGGCUGAGACAGCUGAGACUUCUGAGUACCUUCUGCCAUUCCAGCAAAACAGCUAACCUGUAGGGCCACUGAUGUCGUUCGCUUUUCCAUAUGAUUCUGUUUUCCUGUCUCUGCUAGUUUUCUUCCACUGCCACCCAUGAUUGCUGAUCUAUCCUUGUGAGUUUCAAGUUCACACCCUCACAAAGCAAGGGUGGAAUGGGUCUCGUUGGCCGGACUAUUGCCUGGUUGCUGUUCAGGAAGCAGGUGGACAGAUCUUGGGUCAAGUGUCCAUCCCUGGCCAUCAUGGGAGGUCAUGUGUUAUCUGUGUGGUGGCUUGUGGCAGAGCUGUGUGUUUGUACUGUCCUGAGGUCUGUCUGCUGAGACACAAGCAGCGUGAUCAGGCACAGGGUGCACUGCUGCUGAACUAGCUCAGUGCCUGAAAACAUUGUUUACCUCCUGCUUCCUCUGAUUAAAAAAUCCCUAAUUUCAUUCCUGCUUUCAAGGAUCAAGUUUACACUUUCUUACUUGGCAUGCACAUCCUCAAACUACUUUCCCAACCUCUUUUUCCAUUCAUAUUCUGGUCUAAUCUUCUCUGAUAUCUUGAAUUGCUGUCUGAAUUUCUUUCCCUCUCACAUUCUCCUCCUGAACCUCUGUUUUGAGAAAUAUGGUAGUCACAAAGCUAGACUUGGCUUCAAAAAACCACUGGAGAACAGAGGAAACUGCUGUGUGGUGUCGAUGAACCACUGGUUCUCUCUGGGCCAUUGUCUUAUUUACAAAAUAUACUGUUACGUCAUGUUAUCUAAGUUCCUUUCUUCUUCUUGUUCUCCCCGGAGGGCUCGGCCUGUGACUGGACUCAGUCUUCUCUCCCUUCCUUUUUUCUGAAGUCAUUGCAUUUAAAGUCUCAGUUUUCGUUUGAAAAUUAACUAUGGUUAUAUUUUAUAGAGUCACUUUUUCUAUAAUCUGACCCCCCUUCUGCACCCCCUAGAGCUGGCUGCACAGCACAGAGGGAGGAUGUAGAGACAGUGGGUCUCUUCCCUGUGAAUUGGAAGCUUUGCUUCUCUAUUGAGCCCCCUGAGCCUCUUAAACACCUUCGAGCCCCAUGUGCUGGGAGGCCAGUCUGACCCACGGUCAGUCUCAAACCUCCCUGGCCAGUCAAUUCGUUGGGCGCAUACCUAGUCUCUCAGGCAGGAAUUAUUCUCUACUCCUAAGAGCUCUUCUCUGCCACUCAUUAUCUCCUCCUGAUACCCUGUACAAUGACCACUGCACAUACCACCUGUUGUUUGGGCACAGGGUUAAUGAAACUUCUGGGACCUCAGUAGCCUGAGAGUCCAUUAAAUGUUUUUCAAAUGAAGUAACUGACAC
rnacentral:lncRNA from 1 species